rnacentral:rRNA from 1 species
CCCUUAGAUGUUCUGGGCCGCACGCGUGCUACACUGAGUGGAUCAGCGGGUCAGGUUGCGCGAAAGCGUUUCCUAAUCUUUAAAUCCGCUCGUGAUGGGGAUUGACGGUUGCAAUUUUCUGUCAUGAACGAGGAAUACCUUGUAAGCGCGGGUCAUCAUCCCGCGCUGAAUACGUCCCUGCCCUUUGUACACACCGCCCGUCGCUCCUACCGAUUGAGUGGUCCGGUGAGGCUUUGGGAUCUGAGCGGAAAGAGCGUUUCGCUGUUUCUGCUCGGAAAACUCAGUCGAACCUUCUCAUUUAGAGGAAGGAGAAGUCGUAACA